rnacentral:RNase_P_RNA from 1 species
GUAUUCAAGUAAUCGCUGUAUUAACGUACAGAGGAAAGUCCAUGCUCACACAAACUGAGAUGUUUGUAGUGUUUAUGCUUGAUGAAAUCAUAAGUCAAGGCAACAUUACGAGGUUAACGGCAGGAGACAUCCCUAAGUCUACUGAUAGGGGAUUCUAUCCUUGAAAGUGCCACAGUGACGUAGCUGGAAUGGAAACAUUUCGGGUGGAACGAGGUAAACCCCAUAAGUGAGCAACCCAAAUUAAGGUAGGGGCAUCCUUUAGUAGGGAAUUCAACCGAAUAAGGGACAAGCAAUGAAUGCUUGUAGAUAGAUGAUUACACCGAAUGUACGAGGCUGACCUCCGUUUGUAGUACUGAGGAACAGAACAUGGCUUAUCGAA